rnacentral:rRNA from 1 species
UACGAAGGAUUCGAGCGUUAUCCGGAUUUAUUGGGUUUAAAGGGUGCGUAGGUGGACUAAUAAGUCAGUGGUGAAAGCCCGCAGCUUAACUGCGGAACUGCCAUUGAUACUGUUAGUCUUGAGUACAGUUGAGGUGGGCGGAAUGUGUCAUGUAGCGGUGAAAUGCUUAGAUAUGACACAGAACACCGAUUGCGAAGGCAGCUCACUAAGCUGUAACUGACGCUGAGGCACGAAAGCGUGGGGAGCAAACAGG